rnacentral:tRNA from 1 species
UGAUAUGCUGAAGCAUACUCAGGCUUUUGUUCAAUUGCUUUAUUAAAAUCUUCAAUUGCUUUUUCAAACUGAC